GCCUGUUUAUCAAAAACAUAUACGUGAUCUGAGUUCAGACCGGACGUGAUCGCCUGUUUAUCAAAAACAUAUACGUGAUCUGAGUUCAGACCGGGCCACGACGAGGGUUAAACUGUCUCCUUUUCCAAGUCAAUGAAAUUGAUCUCUCCGUGCAGAAGCGGGGAUAUCCACAUAAGACGAGAAGACCCUAUGGAGCUUUAGACGCAAGGCAGACUACGUCACUUAUCCCCUAAUAAAGAGAUCAAAACCAAGAGACCCCUGUUCUUACGUCUUCGGUUGGGGCGACCAUGGGGAAGCAAAAACCCCCCAAGUGGACUGGGAGCAUUUUACUACUAUCUUCUUCUCCUUCCUCCCAAAAUCAAGAGCCACAGCUCUAAUUAGCAGAAUUUCUGACCAAGAAUGACCCGGCAAUGCCGAUCAACGGACCAAGUUACCCUAGGGAUAACAGCGCAAUCCUCUUUUAGAGCCCAUAUCGACAAGAGGGUUUACGACCUCGAUGUUGGAUCAGGACAUCCUAAUGGUGCAGCCGCUAUUAAGGGUUCGUUUGUUCAACGAUUAAAGUCCUACGUGAUCUGAGUUCAGACCGGAC
rnacentral:rRNA from 1 species